UUGCUCCCAACUACCCUUUGAGCUCUAGAAGAGUGUCAAAUGCUAAAAAAUUAUUUCAAAAAUACAAUACAUUCGGAUCAUGAUCUUAAAUCAACAUCUGAAAAUUUUUCAUGAAUAGAGGCUUAGCAGCCCCCCUACAAUUUCAUGAGAGUGUUAGCAUGAGUUAGAAAUCUCAAAUGAUUUUAGAGUUUACCUUUUCUUGAUUAUCAACUAGGUCAUCCUACUCAAGAUUACCACCCAUUGGUCAGCCUCU
rnacentral:lncRNA from 1 species